UGCGCGGUAGUGGAGUUCGGUUCCACGCUGGGCUCAUAACCCAGAAACGUCGGUUCGAAUCCGGCCUGCGCCAC
rnacentral:tRNA from 1 species